rnacentral:rRNA from 1 species
UACAGAGGUCCCAAGCGUUGUUCGGAUUCACUGGGCGUAAAGGGUGCGUAGGCGGUCGGGUAAGUCUGAUGUGAAAUCUCACAGCUUAACUGUGAAACUGCAUUGGAUACUAUCCGGCUCGAGGAAUGGAGGGGAGACUGGAAUACUUGGUGUAGCAGUGAAAUGCGUAGAUAUCAAGUGGAACACCAGUGGCGAAGGCGGGUCUCUGGGCCGAUACUGACACUGAGGAGCGAAAGCGUGGGGAGCGAACAGG